GACGAACGCUGGCGGCGUGCUUAACACAUGCAAGUCGAGCGGAAAGGCCCUGCUUUUGUGGGGUGCUCGAGUGGCGAACGGGUGAGUAACACGUGAGUAACCUGCCCUUGACUUUGGGCUAACUUCAGGUAACUGUGGCUAAUACCGGAUAGGCGCUCCGGCUGCAUGGUGGGGGUUGGAAAGUUUCGGCGGUUGGGGAUGGACUCGCGGCUUAUCAGCUUGUUGGUGGGGUAGUGGCUUACCAAGGCUUUGACGGGUAGCCGGCCUGAGAGGGUGACCGGCCACAUUGGGACUGAGAUACGGCCCAGACUCCUACGGGAGGCAGCAGUGGGGAAUAUUGCACAAUGGGCGGAAGCCUGAUGCAGCAACGCCGCGUGCGGGAUGACGGCCUUCGGGUUGUAAACCGCUUUCGCCUGUGACGAAGCGUGAGUGACGGUAAUGGGUAAAGAAGCACCGGCUAACUACGUG
rnacentral:rRNA from 1 species